GCAUAUCAAUAAGCGGAGGAAAAAGAAACUAACAAGGAUUCCCUUAGUAACGGCGAGUGAAGUGGGAAAAGCUCAAAUUUUAAAUCCCCGGGGUUCCCCCGGUGAAUUGUAUUUUGAAGAAAGUGUUUCGACGUUCGGUUUAAUCUAAAUCCUUUGGGAUAAGGUAUCACAGAGGGUGAGAAUCCCGUUCGUGAUUAGGCAUCGGAUGUCUUCCAAUUCACUUUCUAAGAGUCGAGUUGUUUGGGAUUGCAGCUCAAAAUGGGUGGUAAAUUUCACCUAAGGCUAAAUAUCAGCAAGAGACCGAUAGCGAACAAGUACCGUGAGGGAAAGAUGAAAAGAACUUUGAAAAGAGAGUUAAAUAGUACGUGAAAUUGUUGAAAGGGAAACGAUUGAAGUCAGUCAUGCUAGUGAGGAAUCAGCGCGAGGGUUCGCUCUCGUGUGCACUUCUUCGCUUGGCAGGUUAGCAUCAAUUUUGGUCGUCAUAAAAUUAUUGGGGUAAGGUGGCUCCCCUCGGGGAGUGUUAUAGACCCUAGUAGAUGUGAUGACCGGGAUUGAGGAUUGCAGCGAAUGCUACUUGGCUAGUCACCUGGAUUUCUGUUGAUCACCUCGCCGUUGAUAGCUUCGCUAACCUCGGUGGGAUCUGAUUAACUAGAGAUUAGACUGAUCGUAAAUUCGCUAAGGAUGCUGACGUAAUGGCUUUAAACGAC
rnacentral:rRNA from 1 species